AAGGAAGAUAGAGGUGUAGAUUAAGAGGUUAAAAUGGAGCUGGGGAGGCCACGUAAUGAGUAGGGCAGAUAACU
rnacentral:lncRNA from 1 species